rnacentral:lncRNA from 1 species
AACUGUUUCAGUAUAAUAAAGAAAAUAGAAUAAGAAUAGUCAUAAUACAAAUUAGAUACAGCGAUGAUCAUGAACAAUUAUCCAUCAUUAUAAACAUUAUUAAUCAUUAGCUUUUAAUAUUACUCUGUUGCAUUAAUAAUAUAACCUAGGAAUAACCGGCGGGUGUAGGGUCAGGUGCUGAAGGGACAUUGUGAGAAGUGAAUAGAAGGCAAGAGGGGAACCUUCUGUCACACCCGCAUAAGGGCCGCUUGAGGGCCCCUUGGUCAAGCGGUAAUGCCAGUGUCUGGGAAGGCACCCGUUACUUAGCAGACCGCGAAAGGGAGUCUCCUUUCCUUGGAGGAGUCAGGGAACGCUCUGCUCCACCAGCUUCUUGUGGGAGGCUGGAUGUUAUCCAGGCCUGCCCGCAGUCAUCCGGAGGCCCUGGUGCCUGUGGAGGGGCUUUUACCUGCUUGAGGUGCACAACCGCCCCCACCUUCCCCAUCAACGGGCUCUUCCUGCUCCACCGGGUCUCCGAGGGUGUCAAAACGCUCCCCGUCUCCCACUUCUCGUCCGGCCGUGGGGGUGGCGGUGAGGGGCCUGGCCAAGGCCGCCCGCCCUUCCCAGAGGCCGCCCCAGCUCGCCGCCCCCUCCCGCCUGGGAGUGAGUCAUGAUGUGCGUGACCUGUGGCUGGCGGCCUGCGCCCUGCACCUUGUCCCACCCUUGCGUCAGCGCUGACAGCGGGAAGCCCCCAGGAUCGCUCUGACUCACGUGCACCAGGAAGCUGCCCGGAUGCCCCUUCUGCAGCAACAGCUUCUCAGCCUCCUUGCCAGACAGGCGCCCGUGGUACCACCUGGGCCAGGCACAGGCGAGCACAGGGCAUCGGCCCCCCGCACCAAGUCCUCGUGUCCAGGAAGCUGCCCACCGGUCCUCCAGGAGGCCUUCAACCAGACCCUGUCCAUGCCCAGCCAGGGCCCACCCACCUGACGGACAGCGUGAAGCCCCCCGGGCUGCUCUCGCUGGGCCUGGCAAGGAAGUCCCCACGCUGACCUCUGGAUAGGAACAGCUUCUCCGCCUCCACCCUGCUGACGUUGGGGUGAAGCCACCUGGAGUGGGGAGAGCAGGAUCUCGGACUUCCAGCCUCCAGAGCUGAGGGAAGGAGCGCCUGCCCGCCCAGCUUAUGGUCACUCCCUCAGAAGCCCAGCUGCCUGACGAUGGGUUCUUAUCUCCCAGACGGCAGAAGCUGUUCCCCGCACUGUGGCGUCCCAGCCACCCUGUCCCAGGACCUUCCUCGUCUGCAGCCCCCCAUGAGGUCAGGGCUGCCCCGGAGCCCACGUCUGAGAUCACAACUGCUCCUUACUUUUGUGGCACUGGACUCCGGAGCUCAGGACUACAUUGUACUCAGGCGGCAGCCCCAGAGCCCAGAAUGUCAGCAAAAAAGAGCCACACCUCUGUGCUGUCCACACAGGGGCGGCUUCUGGACACCUGGCUCUUGGGCAUCUCCUGGCUGCAUAGAUGAUACCCAGGUGGGGCCUGCUGGCUCUAGGACCUCCGCCCCACGCUGGCCCAGCCUGGUUGUCAGUGGAGUCAUAACCUGUGCACGAAUGGGUGGGGGUUGCUGUGCCCUGGGCGGACCCUGCUCUGGCCCCCAUGGCUGGUCCAGAGGAGGAGGAAGGUUGAGGGCGGUCCUGCCCCCUCUGCCCCACAAAGGGCAGCUGCAGGGCUCUUUCUAGAAUGGAGGCCUCACCGCAGUCUCUGUUAAAGGCCUCCAUGACCAGGCUCAUGCCUAUAAUCCCAAUUACUCAGGAGGCGGGUGGAUUGCUUGAGCCCAGGAGUUCAAGACCAGCCUGGGCAACAUAGCCAGACCUCAUCUCACUUAAGAAGAAAUAAAAAAUAAAGGCCUCCACAGGCUUUCACCCCUGAGAAUGGAGCCAAGAUCUCCCCUCCUCUGCAGCACCCGCAGGUCCUGGCUGGUCCCCCUGGGGACCCCAUCCCCGGCUCCAGCCCACCCUGGCCAGGUCCCUCUCCCGGGGCCCCAGCUCCUCCUCCUCCUUUGGGCCCUGCCUCCACUCCUUGCAGCUCCUGCCCCUCUGCUCCCCUCUGAGCACAACUUCUGGAAGAAGUUUGUAUGGCUGUGUGAUUUGUAAAUAGGAAUGAAUUAAAAUUCAUGGCCGGGUGCGAUGGCUCAUGCCUGAAAUCCCAGCACUUUGGGAGGCCGAGGCAGGCGCAUCACCUGAGGUCAGGAGUUUGAG